UGGGGGAUCGUCUAACGGCAGGACGCAAGACUCUGACUCUUGCUAUCUAGGUUCGAAUCCUAGUCCCCCAGCCA
rnacentral:tRNA from 3 species